AGGUGACAUCUGUGAAAGUGUUGUUUGACUCCCACGAAAGGGACACAACCCACAGAAUUUCAGAGUUACAGCUAAGCAGCAAGAACGGCACAAAGUUUUUUCCUGCCCGCUCCAUCGAGAGACUCCAAAUGUUACGGCUUUUGUUCUCCCUCCUCUGUUUGACUGUCUGAGAAAACGCCGUAGACACAAUGGCUCUUCAGAAUGUAUUUCUUGAAAUCAAGGACACCCUAUUGCACAAGUGUGUUUUGGUCACUAAUCUCAAAAAGAUGCCUGCAGAAGAGCAGUAAACGAGCCAAAGACCGAGGCCUGUUUGUGUUUAUUUGGUUUCUUCUGCAAAGCGCUCUAACUGGAUGUGAUCACCGCUGUCCCACUGCCUUUGUGGCAGCUUCCAGUAAUGGUGUGCAGAUGUCAAAUGCGCCGUGUUUGGGCACCAGGUAGUUUCAUUCUAGUCUCAGUUGCAGAGAUGACUGGAUUAUCCUCAGGGUGUUUGUCUCCAAGAAGCCAGUUGACCUAAAAAGCAAGCACCACUCAACAAUGGAUACAUGCUAUAAAAAUACAGGAACAUUUACAGAGCUGUUGGCUCCAAGUAGGAACAUUUAAGAACUGGGUAAAGUUAUGGCUUCUUUUCUCUCCUUUUCUCCUUCGUUUAAGCAUGACAGUUAUGAGUCUCUUUCUCAGUUCACACCAUCUGACAUGGACAGCUAAGGAGACUGUGUCAAUAAAGCAGACCAUUUCAAAGAGUCUCGAGGCUGGUAACUUGGACUGGCGGUCCCAAGCUGUAAAUAAUACCCUGCCUAAGGGGUCCAGUACAUGGGUUCUGCUGAUCUCUUGGUGGCCACUAGG